rnacentral:rRNA from 1 species
UACAGAGGUCUCAAGCGUUGUUCGGAUUCAUUGGGCGUAAAGGGUGCGUAGGCGGCGCGGUAAGUCGGGUGUGAAAUCUCGGAGCUUAACUCCAAAACUGCAUUCGAUACUGCCGUGCUUGAGGACUGGAGAGGAGAUUGGAAUUUACGGUGUAGCGGUGAAAUGCGUAGAUAUCGUAAGGAAGACCAGUGGCGAAGGCGGGUCUCUGGACAGUUCCUGACGCUGAGGCACGAAGGUCAGGGGAGCAAACGGG